rnacentral:rRNA from 1 species
GAGUUUGAUCGUGGCUCAGAUUGAACGCUGGCGGCAGGCCUAACACAUGCAAGUCGAGCGGUAACAGGACUAGCUUGCUAGUUGCUGACGAGCGGCGGACGGGUGCGUAACACGUAGGAAUCUGCCCGGUAGUGGGGGAUAGCCCGGAGAAAUCCGGAUUAAUACCGCAUACGCCCUAAGGGGGAAAGAUGGCCUCUUCUUGAAAGCUAUCACUAUCGGAUGAGCCUGCGUCGGAUUAGCUAGUUGGUGAGGUAAAGGCU